rnacentral:antisense_RNA from 1 species
AGAAGUCCUUCAAAUGUAAUUGCAAAGUCAGAGACCUACAGGGAAAUGGGGAUCAAAAGCUCUCAUCACUCCAGAUGCUACAAAGCCUUCCCUUCCAGAUGCUACCGAUUUUACUCCCCAGAGCACAGAAGAAAAGUUUGCCAUUGAUGACUG